rnacentral:rRNA from 2 species
UGCUGGAUGCUGACGAGCGGCGGACGGGUGAGUAAUGCAUAGGAAUCUGCCCGAUAGUGGGGGAUAACCUGGGGAAACCCAGGCUAAUACCGCAUACGUCCUACGGGAGAAAGGGGGCUCCGGCUCCCGCUAUGGGAUGAGCCUAUGUCGGAUUAGCUAGUUGGUGAGGUAACGGCUCACCAAGGCCACGAUCCGUAGCUGGUCUGAGAGGAUGAUCAGCCACAUCGGGACUGAGACACGGCCCGAACUCCUACGGGAGGCAGCAGUGGGGAAUAUUGGACAAUGGGGGAAACCCUGAUCCAGCCAUGCCGCGUGUGUGAAGAAGGCCCUCGGGUUGUAAAGCACUUUCAGCGAGGAAGAACGCCUAACGGUUAAUACCCGCUAGGAAAGACAUCACUCGCAGAAGAAGCACCGGCUAACUCCGUGCCAGCAGCCGCGGUAAUACGGAGGGUGCAAGCGUUAAUCGGAAUUACUGGGCGUAAAGCGCGCGUAGGUGGCUUGAUAAGCCGGUUGUGAAAGCCCCGGGCUCAACCUGGGAACGGCAUCCGGAACUGUCAAGCUAGAGUGCAGGAGAGGAAGGUAGAAUUCCCGGUGUAGCGGUGAAAUGCGUAGAGAUCGGGAGGAAUACCAGUGGCGAAGGCGGCCUUCUGGACUGACACUGACACUGAGGUGCGAAAGCGUGGGUAGCAAACAGGAUUAGAUACCCUGGUAGUCCACGCCGUAAACGAUGUCGACCAGCCGUUGGGUGCCUAGCGCACUUUGUGGCGAAGUUAACGCGAUAAGUCGACCGCCUGGGGAGUACGGCCGCAAGGUUAAAACUCAAAUGAAUUGACGGGGGCCCGCACAAGCGGUGGAGCAUGUGGUUUAAUUCGAUGCAACGCGAAGAACCUUACCUACUCUUGAC